GCAGCAGUUAGGAAUUCAGAAGACAAGAUUCAGACGACCGCCUUCAACAUCAAGGAGGCUUAUGAAGGCAUGGUGGGGGUAGGAGAAGGAGAGCCACUCCUCCUGAACAGUGAGGUCUGUUGUCUCUGAAAGUCGCUGGUUGAGCUGAACUGGCAGUCAACUGGAUCCUUCCAACAACAGCCUGCCUUUCCUUGCUGCCGACAGACCAAGCAUGGCUCCUCCUUUAGCAACGGCUGCUGGGUACCCUGCUUCUUUCCACUUCGGAGCCAUUGUUUGCCCUACCUGCCUCCCCCAUGGAACCCUCAGGACGCUUGGACCAAAGAAGGGAAUUCUACAUGGGCUCUUCACAGAUCCCCAGGAGCUGCCAUAGCCCUGCCACCUGUGUUCAGGCAAGAUGUAGAAGACAUUCCCCCAAAGGAGAACAGCACAAAUCCAGUAAAGUGCUAGCUGUCUUAAGUGACGACAUCUUUUUAGUCUGUAUUGUCGACCUGUUGAUGUGAAAGAACUGACCCUCUCAGGUCUAGCUAUUUCCUUACCAGCCACUUGACCUUUCAUAUAUAAAACAAUAAUCCAGAGCCCAGGCCCAGUCAACCUCUUUGUCAGGCUCUUAUGGCCUCAGUUGUCAACUUGACUUACUUGGGAAGAAGGAACUUCAACUGAGGAAUUAACUCUAUCAAACUGGCCUGUGGGCAUGACUAUGGGAGAAUUUUCUUAAUUGAUAAUUGCUGUGGGAGGAGCAGCCCACUGUGGUGGUACCAACCUGGGCAGGUGAUCCUGGUGAUACAAGAAAUCAGGCUGAGCCCAGGAGAAGCAAGCCAGUAGGCCGUGUUCCUCCAAGCCUUCUGCUUCAGUUCCUGCCCUGACUUCCCUUCAUGAUGGACUAUAACUGAAGAUGAAAUAAA
ensembl:lincRNA